GACGAACGCUGGCGGCGUGCUUAACACAUGCAAGUCGAACGGAAAGGCCCUGCUUUUGUGGGGUGCUCGAGUGGCGAAAGGGUGAGUAACACGUGAGUAACCUGCCCUUGACUUUGGGAUAACUUCAGGAAACUGGGGCUAAUACCGGAUAGGAGCUCCUGCUGCAUGGUGGGGGUUGGAAAGUUUCGGCGGUUGGGGAUGGACUCGCGGCUUAUCAGCUUGUUGGUGGGGUAGUGGCUUACCAAGGCUUUGACGGGUAGCCGGCCUGAGAGGGUGACCGGCCACAUUGGGACUGAGAUACGGCCCAGACUCCUACGGGAGGCAGCAGUGGGGAAUAGUGCACAAUGGGCGGAAGCCUGAUGCAGCAACGCCGCGUGCGGGAUGACGGCCUUCGGGUUGUAAACCGCUUGCGCCUGUGACGAAGCGUGAGUGACGGUAAUGGGUAAAGAAGCACCGGCUAACUACGUG
rnacentral:rRNA from 1 species